UCAAAACAGCGGACUUCGGUCCUUGCUGCACCCUUGUCUUUUGCGUACCGUAUGUUUCCUCGGCGGGCUUGCCUGCCGGUUGGACAUUAUCAAACCUUUUUGUAGUUGCAAUCAGCGUCAGAAAAUAAACAAUAAUUA
rnacentral:misc_RNA from 2 species